UGGACCAGAAACUAUUCGAAAAAAAACCUACAUUUUUAUACCAGUUACUCGCAGAGGGUAUACUAGAUUCGUUUCCGACCAUACAAAGUAUAUAUAUUCUUGAUCAGGAUCAAUUGCCAAGUCGAUCUGGCUAUGUACGUCUGUCCGUAUAAACGUCGAUAUCUCAGGAACUACAAAAGGCUAGAAGGCUGCCCUGCAAUUCAUUUAUCGGUCGGCAAGACCGCAACAAGUUCCGAAAACGAUAGAGAAUACAUAUAUAUAAUCCUUUAAAGAAAUAUUCUCAGUGCUCUUAUUUUCCUCACCGCACAUAUGUACACGCAUAUGUACUUUGGCCCAUAUAGAGGAAAUGUUAUAAUGAUGAAAUAAUAAAGCCGGAGGACAGGCCAAACAAAUCCUCGGGGGAGUUCGAGCAGCCCACACAUCCUGCCCACAAUAACCGUUGAUAGUCGUCAUAAAAAAAGCCAAAGAAAUGCCCUAAACUCCGAGCAGCCUCCAUCCCCAUCUACACCAUCUUGGCAGCAUCCAAAGGCAAACAAAAGGGGGCCACUGGAACAACAACAGCUCCUUAUCACCACCACUACCACCAAAAAAAAAUAUAUAUAUAUAUAAAUAUAAGCAGGAAAAAAACGAGCCAGAUAUAACCCCUUGGGGAAGUCCUGUCCAGAAAUGCUCCGUUGUUUCGUGUUAAAUUGACCGCUCACAUGCAACUUGGGGCCAUGGAAGACAAUAAAUAUUUAUAUGUAAAUGCCA